rnacentral:tRNA from 1 species
GUGGCUCAGUGUUAAGAGCAUUUGUUGCUUUUGCAGAAGACCUGGGUUUGAUUCCCAGC